rnacentral:rRNA from 1 species
GACGAACGCUGGCGGCGUGCCUAAUACAUGCAAGUCGAACGCCGUUGCGCACGGGUGAGUAACGCGUAGGUAACUGCCUCAUUGCGGGGGGUUACUAUUGGAAACGAUAGCUAAUACCGCCUACUGUGAGAUGGACCUGCGUUGUAUUAGCUAGUUGGUGAGGUAAAGGGUCACCACGGCGACGAUACAUAGCCGGCCUGAGAGGGGUAUCGGCAAAACUGGGACUGAGACACCGCCCAGACUCCUACGGGAGGCAGCAGUAGGGAAUUGUUGGAAAGGGAGGGAAGGCUGACCGAGCAACGCCGGGGGAGUGAAGAAGGGUUUUGGAGUGUAAAGCUAUUUUGAGAGAGAAGCGGUAACUAACCAGAAAGGGACGGCUAACUACGUGCCAGCCGCCGCGGUAAUAC